AUCGAUGAAGAACGCAGCGAAAUGCGAUAAGUAAUGUGAAUUGCAGAAUUCAGUGAAUCAUCGAAUCUUUGAACGCAACUUGCGCUCUCUGGUAUUCCGGAGAGCAUGCCUGUUUGAGUGUCAUGAAAUCUCAACCAUUAGGGUUUCUUAAUGGCUUGGAUUUGGAGGUUGCCAUUCUAAAUGGCUCCUCUUAAAGGAGUUAGCAGGUUUUACUAUUGCUAUCUGGCGUAAUAAGUUUCGCUGGAAUGGUAUUGUGAAGCGUGCUUCUAAUCGUCUUCGGACAAUUACUUUGACUCUGGCCUCAAAUCAGGUAGGACUACCCGCUGAACUUAAGCAUAUCAAUA
rnacentral:rRNA from 1 species